CCUGACUCUAAAUUAUCUGGACGAGCGAGACGGUGAACAGAACUGUCAUCACCUGACUCCUGGGAGUACCCCUGUCUGUGUCACCGAGUUCCUGGUCAGCCUUCCGCCAUGAAGAUCCUUCAUCUAGUCUUUGCUGUUGUUUUCUUGCUGCUCCUGGAUGCACCAGGAUUCUCCAAGGCCAGAACGACCCCAGGGGACUGUAGAUACCGAGGUGGAUCCUGCUUCCUUUGGCGAUGUCCCACCCCUUCUAUAUACAUUGACAAAUGCAUUCCGUUUGGCCACUGCUGUCAGAAGCGGUAGUUCAAUUGAUUGUCUGAGCAAGAUCUCUGGGAAUCCAGCAGACAGCUACUUGCUUCUAAAAUCAACAGAUUCUGCUUCAACGGACCCUUGAAACGCUAUUAAGUUCAGCUAGAAAGAAACCUGUUAGCUGGAGGAAUACCAGACGAGAGCCCUCAAAAAAUAUAAAUCAAAUAUUUGUUACUUUCCUUUUAAUAAAAGCAAGUUUGUAU